rnacentral:rRNA from 2 species
CAGCUGGCUGCAACUGUUUAUUAAAAACACAGCACUGUGCAAACACGAAAGUGGACGUAUACGGUGUGACGCCUGCCCGGUGCCGGAAGGUUAAUUGAUGGGGUCAGCGCAAGCGAAGCUCUUGAUCGAAGCCCCGGUAAACGGCGGCCGUAACUAUAACGGUCCUAAGGUAGCGAAAUUCCUUGUCGGGUAAGUUCCGACCUGCACGAAUGGCGUAAUGAUGGCCAGGCUGUCUCCACCCGAGACUCAGUGAAAUUGAACUCGCUGUGAAGAUGCAGUGUACCCGCGGCAAGACGGAAAGACCCCGUGAACCUUUACUAUAGCUUGACACUGAACACUGGUCCUUGAUGUGUAGGAUAGGUGGGAGGCUUUGAAGUGUGGACGCCAGUCUGCAUGGAGCCGUCCUUGAAAUACCACCCUUUAAUGGCUGGUGUUCUAACGUUGGCCCCUUAUCGGGGUUGCGGACAGUGUCUGGUGGGUAGUUUGACUGGGGCGGUCUCCUCCUAAAGAGUAACGGAGGAGCACGAAGGUUGGCUAAUCCUGGUCGGACAUCAGGAGGUUAGUGCAAUGGCAUAAGCCAGCUUGACUGCGAGCGUGACGGCGCGAGCAGGUGCGAAAGCAGGUCAUAGUGAUCCGGUGGUUCUGAAUGGAAGGGCCAUCGCUCAACGGAUAAAAGGUACUCCGGGGAUAACAGGCUGAUACCGCCCAAGAGUUCAUAUCGACGGCGGUGUUUGGCACCUCGAUGUCGGCUCAUCACAUCCUGGGGCUGAAGUAGGUCCCAAGGGUAUGGCUGUUCGCCAUUUAAAGUGGUACGCGAGCUGGGUUUAGAACGUCGUGAGACAGUUCGGUCCCUAUCUGCCGUGGGCGCUGGAGAACUGAGGGGGGCUGCUCCUAGUACGAGAGGACCGGAGUGGACGCAUCACUGGUGUUCGGGUUGUCAUGCCAAUGGCACUGCCCGGUAGCUAAAUGCGGAAGAGAUAAGUGCUGAAAGCAUCUAAGCACGAAACUUGCCCCGAGAUGAGUUCUCCCUGAGACUUUAAGUCUCCUGAAGGAACGUUGAAGACGACGACGUUGAUAGGCCGGGUGUGUAAGCGCAGCGAUGCGUUGAGCUAACCGGUACUAAUGAACCGUGAGGCUUAACCUUACAACGCCGAAGGUGUUU